AGACCCAGCUUAGUUGCUACCUUUUCUAUGGGGUCUUCUUUCAUUCCCCAGCCACUGUCUUCCCCUGAACUCUCAAAGAACUUGUGAUCUUACCAACACAUUCGAGUUGCAUUUCUGUAGUAGUUGUUUUGUAUACAUGUGUUACAUCUUAUUCAAGACUCUGAACUUCCAGAAAUCAGGGACAAUAUAUUCUAAUAAUCACAGUUCCCAUAACACACAGGACAAUGGACUUUAUAUAAUGUUCUUUUUGGUCCUUAUCUCUGAUCAAAUAAGAAAAUAUGCAGUCAUCGUGUCUGCUCUUGGAAGGAGUAAUCAAUAUUCACCAAAGGAUCAGCAAGCAGAAGAAAUUGAUAUUACACUAUGAGCCUAUUUGAAACAAACCAACAAAAAUAGGUGCCCCAGCUUCUGCCUACAGGAAUUCUCAGUAGGAUCUCUUGGAAAAUGGUCUCAGACAUCACA